rnacentral:tRNA from 1 species
GGCCGUGGCUCAGCAGUUAGAGCGCUUGCCUAGCAUGUAUGAGGCACUGAGUUCAAUCCUCAGCACCA